CCUACGGGUGGCAGCAGUGAGGCAUAUUGGUCAAUGGCCGGAAGGCUGAACCAGCCAUGCCGCGUGAAGGUCAGUGCCCUAUGGGCGUUAAACUUCUUUUGUGCGGGAGCAAUAAUGGUCACGUGUGGCCAGACGAGAGUACCGUACGAAUAAGCAUCGGCUAACUCCGGGCCAGCAGCCGCGGUAAUACGGGGGGUGCGAGCGUUAAUCGGAAUCACUGGGCGUAAAGCGCGCGUAGGCGGCUUGUCAAGUCAGGGGUGAAAUCCCACGGCCCAACCGUGGAACUGCCUUUGAAACUGUAGAGCUUGAGUGUCGGAGAGGGUGGGGAAUUCCAGGUGUAGGAGUGAAAUCCGUAGAUAUCACGCAGAACUCCGAUUGCGAAGGCAGCUUACUAAGCCAUAACUGACACUGAAGCACGAAAGCGUGGGGAUCAAACAGGAUUAGAUACCCCUGUAGUC
rnacentral:rRNA from 1 species